UGGGAGACCUAGAAGGGAAGGAAAGAGUUUGUAUAGCUGACUCCCAAAGGAAUGGGCUAAAGACUGUGCCCUGGAGGGAUGAGUUAUCUGAAAGAAACCACCACAGCUCCAGAGUGACUGUUGAUAAGGGCUGCUACCCCACAAGGAUACUGUGAUGCCAUGCUUGGCCAUGAGGAAGUGUGUGGUGGCCCUUCGGAAGAAAUUUCAUACAAACUGAAAUCAAAGAUUGCCUACUUGGUACUUCUUUUUUGGAUGGGAUACAUAUUGCUGGGCCAAACCUCAGCACUUGCACAAAGUCU